rnacentral:rRNA from 1 species
GAUGAACGCUGGCGGCGUGCCUAAUACAUGCAAGUCGAGCGAACAGACGAGGAGCUUGCUCCUCUGACGUUAGCGGCGGACGGGUGAGUAACACGUGGAUAACCUACCUAUAAGACUGGGAUAACUUCGGGAAACCGGAGCUAAUACCGGAUAAUAUAUUGAACCGCAUGGUUCAAUAGUGAAAGACGGUUUUGCUGUCACUUAUAGAUGGAUCCGCGCCGCAUUAGCUAGUUGGUAAGGUAACGGCUUACCAAGGCAACGAUGCGUAGCCGACCUGAGAGGGUGAUCGGCCACACUGGAACUGAGACACGGACCAGACUCCUACGGGAGGCAGCAGUAGGGAAUCUUCCGCAAUGGGCGAAAGCCUGACGGAGCAACGCCGCGUGGGUGAUGAAGGUCUUCGGAUCGUAAAACUCUGUUAUUAGGGAAGAACAAAUGUGUAAGUAACUAUGCACGUCUUGACGGUACCUAAUCAGAAAGCCACGGCUAACUACGUG